rnacentral:rRNA from 1 species
AACGAACGCUGGCGGCAUGCCUAACACAUGCAAGUCGAACGAGACCUUCGGGUCUAGUGGCGCACGGGUGCGUAACGCGUGGGAACCUGCCCUAGGUUCGGAAUAACUCCCCGAAAGGGGUGCUAAUACCGGAUAAUGUCUUCGGACCAAAGAUUUAUCGCCUUUGGAUGGGCCCGCGUUGGAUUAGCUAGUUGGUAGGGUAAAAGCCUACCAAGGCGGCGAUCCAUAGCUGGUCUGAGAGGAUGAUCAGCCACACUGGGACUGAGACACGGCCCAGACUCCUACGGGAGGCAGCAGUGGGGAAUAUUGGACAAUGGGCGAAAGCCUGAUCCAGCAAUGCCGCGUGAGUGAUGAAGGCCUUAGGGUUGUAAAGCUCUUUUACCCGGGAUGAUAAUGACAGUACCGGGAGAAUAAGCUCCGGCUAACUCCGUG